GCUGGGGUACACGAGUGGCGAACGGGUGAGUAACACGUGGGUGACCUGCCCCGCACUUCGGGAUAAGCCUGGGAAACUGGGUCUAAUACCGGAUAGGACCGCACCGUGAGGGUGUGGUGGAAAGUUUUUCGGUGUGGGAUGGGCCCGCGGCCUAUCAGCUUGUUGGUGGGGUAAUGGCCUACCAAGGCGGCGACGGGUAGCCGGCCUGAGAGGGUGGACGGCCACAUUGGGACUGAGACACGGCCCAGACUCCUACGGGAGGCAGCAGUGGGGAAUAUUGCACAAUGGGCGGAAGCCUGAUGCAGCGACGCCGCGUGGGGGAUGACGGCCUUCGGGUUGUAAACUCCUUUCACCAUCGACGAAGGUUUUCUGACGGUAGAUGGAGAAGAAGCACCGGCUAACUACGUGCCAGCAGCCGCGGUAAUACGUAGGGUGCGAGCGUUGUCCGGAAUUACUGGGCGUAAAGAGCUCGUAGGUGGUUUGUCGCGUCGUCUGUGAAAUUCCGGGGCUUAACUCCGGGCGUGCAGGCGAUACGGGCAUAACUUGAGUACUGUAGGGGAGACUGGAAUUCCUGGUGUAGCGGUGAAAUGCGCAGAUAUCAGGAGG
rnacentral:rRNA from 1 species